rnacentral:rRNA from 1 species
UGGGGAAUAUUGGACAAUGGGCGAAAGCCUGAUCCAGCAAUGCCGCGUGAGUGAUGAAGGCCCUAGGGUUGUAAAGCUCUUUUACCCGGGAUGAUAAUGACAGUACCGGGAGAAUAAGCCCCGGCUAACUCCGUGCCAGCAGCCGCGGUAAUACGGAGGGGGCUAGCGUUGUUCGGAAUUACUGGGCGUAAAGCGCGCGUAGGCGGCUUUGUAAGUCAGGGGUGAAAGCCCAGAGCUCAACUCUGGAAU